UAGGGAAUCUUCGGCAAUGGGGGGAACCCUGACCGAGCAACGCCGCGUGAGUGAAGAAGGUUUUCGGAUCGUAAAGCUCUGUUGUUAAGGAAGAACGAGUGUGAGAAUGGAAAGUUCAUGCUGUGACGGUACUUAACCAGAAAGGGACGGCUAACUACGUGCCAGCAGCCGCGGUAAUACGUAGGUCCCGAGCGUUGUCCGGAUUUAUUGGGCGUAAAGCGAGCGCAGGCGGUUAGAAAAGUCUGAAGUGAAAGGCAGUGGCUCAACCAUUGUAGGCUUUGGAAACUGUUUAACUUGAGUGCAGAAGGGGAGGGAGGAAUUCCAUGUGUAGCGGUGAAAUGCGUAGAUAUAAGGAGGAACACCGGUGGCGAAAGCGGCUCUCUGGUCUGUAACUGACGCUGAGGCUCGAAAGCGUGGGGAGCGAACAGG
rnacentral:rRNA from 1 species